CACGUAGGGACCAAGCGUUGCCCGGAUUUAUUGGGCGUAAAGAGCUCGUAGGCGGUUCGGUAAGUCGGGUGUGAAAACUCUGGGCUCAACCCGGAGAGGCCACCCGAUACUGCCGUGACUUGAGUCCGGUAGGGGAGCACGGAAUUCCUGGUGUAGCGGUGAAAUGCGCAGAUAUCAGGAGGAACACCGGUGGCGAAGGCGGUGCUCUGGGCCGGUACUGACGCUGAGGAGCGAAAGCGUGGGUAGCAAACAGG
rnacentral:rRNA from 1 species